ACAAAUUCCACAGAUUCACCAACUCUGAGCAGGAGCAUUCAGUAAAGAGACCUUACUCUGGUGCCUGUUCAUGUCACCAAAGAGUUGAUAAGAAAAAAGACCUGAGACUGUGUGUCUGUACAAUUCAGUAAAAUCCUCAAAGCAGAAACCUGGCCCAUGUAGUCCUGCUAGCACCAGGGUCUGGCAGCUGCCCAGGAAGUUGUGAAAGGGUUUAGUUUCAAGAGCAAUUGAGCUAUGCCCUCCAGCCCUGGAGAACCACAGAAAGUAAUUUUGCAGGAAUGAUCCACAAUAGCCAACCAGGAAGAAGGAAAGAGAAAACCGUUCCCAGAAUCUGCUGGAGACCUCUAUCAAAAUGACCCUGCCAUCUACAUCUUGAAGGGUGCAAUGGGAACAUUCCACAAAUGUCUUUAACACACAGUGAGUGAGCACCUAAUGCAUGAAUGCAUCAAGCUAGGACGAGGAACUCUGCAGUUAAAGUGGCAGGGCCACUAGCUUAUUGGGGAGACAGGCACAUAAACAAAU
rnacentral:lncRNA from 1 species